rnacentral:rRNA from 1 species
GUAGAAAAGAUUUAUUAAUAUAAAUUAUUAUAAAAAUGUAUAGUUAAUUAUCUAUUAUAAUAUAAAUAUGUGAUAAUUAAAUUGUUUGUUAAUAUAGUAUUAUAAGUAUAGAUAUAAUGUUUUUUAAGGUACUGUGAAGGUAAAAUAAAUUAAUUUUUUUAUAGUAGAUUUAUUGUUCGUACCUUUUGUAUAAUGGGUUGAUGAUAUAUUUGAUUUAUAUAAAUUUUUCUCGAAAUAAAAAGAUUUACUUAAUAUAAAAUGUGUUGACGUUGUAUAGUCAUAUAAUUAAUAUUAAGUGGUAAUGAUAUGUUUAUCGAUUUUUAUGAUAGCUAGUUUAUUGAUUUGGAAUAUUUAAGUAUUGUGAUAUUAAUAUAAUUUUGUUUAUUUAAUAUUAUAUAUAUUAUGAGGGAUAAGCUUCGUAAUAAAUAUAGAAAUAAAUUGUAUUUAAUUAUAAUUAAAGUAGGAUUAAUAAUGUUUUUCUUUAUAAGUAGUUUAAAUGUUUUUUUGUUUAAUUUCAAGUGUGUAAUCAUAAAUAUUUAAAAAUUAUUUUUUGAGUAAAUAUAAUGUUAGUAUGAGUAUUAAUUAAAUUUAUAAAUUUAGUUGUUUUAAUUGUAAAUAAAUAGUGUUUUUAUUAAAAUAAAAUAAGAUAAAGGAAUUCGGCAAGUUUUAAUCUCGCCUGUUUAUCAAAAACAUGUCUCUUUGUAUAAAAUAAAUAAAGAGUUGGGCCUGCUCGGUGAUUGUAUUUAACAGCUGCGGUAUUUUAACUGUACUAAGGUAGCAUAAUAGUUUGCCUUAUAAAUUGAGGCUAGAAUGAAUGGUUUGACGAAGGUUAAUCUGUCUCUGUCUUAUUUAUUAGAAAUUAAUUUUUAAAGUGAAAAAGCUUAAAUUUUUUAAAAGGACGAGAAGACCCUAUUGAGCUUAUAAUUUUGAUUUAUUAUAAAUAAAUAGUAUUAAAUAAAUUUUAAUUGGGGUGAUUAAGGAAUAAAUUUUUAAUUAGUUAAUAACUUCCUUAAAAAUAAGUAUAUAGAUUUAUGAUUUAACCAAUUAAUAUUGCUUAUAAUAUAGUUACCAUAGGGAUAACAGCGUAAUUUAUUUAGAGAGUUCUUAUUAAAAAAUGAGAUUGCGACCUCGAUGUUGGAUUAAAGUAACCUUAAGGUGUAGAAGCUUUAAUAGGUAAAUCUGUUCGAUUUUUAAAACUUUACAUGAUCUGAGUUCAGACCGGCGUGAGCCAGGUUGGUUUCUAUCUUUUAAAAAUAUUUAUAGUUUCUUUUAGUACGAAAGGACCAAAGAUAACUAAAUUAUUAAUUAUAAUAUUAAUAUAUUAAGUAAAAUUAAUAAAGGUUAAUUAAUUAAUUUAAUUAUAUUAAAUU